rnacentral:tRNA from 1 species
UCCUGGUGGCUCAGAUGGUAAAGCAUCUGCCUGCAAUGUGGGAGACCGGGGUUCGAUUCCUGGAUCAGGAA